GUGGGCUACCACACCUGGCUAAUGUUUUUUUGUAGAGACAGGGUCCCACUAUGUUGCCCAGGAUGGUCUUGAACUCCUUGCCCCCGGGCAAUAUUCCUGCCUCAGCCUCCCAAAGUGUUGGGUUUACAGGUAUGAUCCACUGUGCCCAUCCUGGAUGCAGACUUUAAGCAGAGUCACAUCAACAAGAAGAGCUGUGAAGGUCAGGGCAUGACCCACAGAUGCCCAAACACUGCACUGGAGGUCCAGGAAGAUUCUGCUGACAACGCAACCCUGAGCCAAGAUCUGAAGGAUAAGAGGGAGCUUAUAACAUGGAAGAAGGAACAGUAUUCCUGGCAAGUGGAACAGCAUGUGCAAAGGUCAGGUGGUAAGAGGGGCUUCAAGGACAGUCCUAUGGCUGGAGCAGAGUGAUUGAGGGCAUGUGAAAUGAGAGGUGGCCAGGGUGGCAGGCAGGGACUAGCCCAAUGGCCGUGAAAGGGAUGGGACUUUGGUCACUGUUUCGCAUUUCCAGAUGUUUACUAUGUGCCAGGCUUGGUACUAAAUGCUUUUCUGGAAUAUCUCACUAGAUUCUCACAUAGAUGAAGGGCUUGAUCUUAGAGAGGUUAGAUCCCUCAGCCGAGAGCCCACAGUGAGGAAGCCAUGGGGCCUGUGUCCCUGACUGCAAGACCUGUGCUCAGAACGGCCAGGCCACACAGACCUCAACUCUCACUACAACCUCCUGAAGUCGGUGUGGUUACUCUUCCCACUUUACAGAUGAGGACAUGGGCCCAGAGAGGUUAUGUGAGUGACACAGCUUGAAGGUGGAGUUAAGCCUGGGCAGUCUGGCUUCAGAGUGUCCACAGUCUCAACCACUGCCUCACAUGGCUUCUUAGAAAAUAUUAUAAAAAGAAGCUCGGGCUGCCAUGUGGAAAAGAAUGGAGAGGGGACAAUGACACAGCUGGGAGCAUGCUGUGAUGGUGUACAGCGGACACAUUCAGGAUGAGGUGAAACAGGCUGGCCCUGGUGAGAGGCUAGAUGGGGCUGGGAUGAGGGUGGAGACAAGUAGUCUUGGGGUUGGCUUGGUGCAGCUGGGGGGUGCGGGGAGUGUCUCUGAGGUGAGGCCGGGGGUAUGGGAACGCCAUGUUUGGUCUGGGACACGGUGGGCUUGGGAUGGCUACAGGACAGUGCAGUGGAGAGUCAAAAAGGCUGCUCGGACCCAGGUCUGGCGAGAUGGAAGCUGGAGGUCAGGUGAGCUGUCUAGGAGAGGGACAGAGUGGGAAGGAGAGGGUCUCGACUCGGCUUUCUUGCCAAAGGAGGGUUCCGAAAUGAGAAACUGUGGAAUCUAAGCUGGAGAGGAAGAAAGACGGAGAAUGAGUGAACGCACACGUGUGGGACAGAUAGAUGAAUAUUCAUGUCUUUGGCUCCUAUGUACCUGAGUCUUCUAAAGCUGCAGGCCAUACUACCCCCGGGAGGCUGCAGGGAUGCCAGCUGGGAGAUGAAUGCAACUCUGCUGCCUGGGCAUGGGCCUGAGUGAGGGUGCAGACCCCUGCCUGUGAUCAUCAGGGAGGGUGAUGAGAACAAGGUGGCUGACAGGGUGAGGCCCAAGCCUGGAGCUUACCCAGCUGCAGGAUCCCUUGCUCGCUCUCUCACAAGCAAAUGUAGACUGCGCAACCAUCCUGACCACAGAUCCAGAAAGCCCAGGACAUAACAGAGCCGCAGUGCCUGCCCUGAUCCACGCGCACACAGAUCUAGCCCAGGAACAAGCCCAUCCACGGAGUGAGCAGCUGACAGGGGAGCCACGAACAGCCUGGAGAGCUGAGCAUGGGCCUGCUCCACACUCCAGCGGGGCCCGAGGCCCCCGGGAACUCUACCCCUCCUGGCAGCCUCACAGAACCUGCUGCAUCCAUCUCAAAAGGCAUACCUCCUCCAGGAAGCCUUCCCCGCUGCUCAGAGGUCUUAAAUCCGGGGUCUGCACUCACAAACUGUGCAGCCUACACCAGCUUCUGGGGGACAGCAGAACACUGUGGGGGGCCUGGCACAGUCCCUGGCACACGAGCCUCCCUGCCAGCCCAGAUGGUCACAAGGGCCUCCUGGGAUGCUGCCCACCUUGGCAGCCAGGCCCCUCCGGAGGGGCCAGUCUGGGCCUGACACCCCCGAACACCAACCCCCUGGGCAGAGCCUGCCUGUGCCUGGGUGAGGAACCCUGCAGUCUCCUUGCCACACAAGGCCUGGGUCUGCCUUGGGGCCCAGGCUGCACCCUCUCCGACCCCCAGGCCCAAUGUCUGACCUGUGCCCACCUGACUCAACCUGGCUACUGUUCAGCAAGUUUACAAAGUGUUCUCAGUCUGAACAGGAACCGUUUUCAAUCCUUUAUUUCAGAAAGGAGAGCCAGGAGAACUGGGGACUUAGAAAAUACAGAUCCUAAACUCAAAAGUCCCUGCCCCAGGCGUGCAGAGCCAGGGUCCUGGGGUUUUGUGCUGGGCAGGGGCUGCCCUGGGAGGGGGAAUACAGGGGGAGGCACUUUAGGACACCCCUUAGGCUGUGGAGGGUGUCAGCUGGGCCUUUGAAGCCACUAACCACUGGUUCCCAUCAUGGAGAGCCCUGUGUGGGGCACCCAAGGGGGUUUCCUCCUGGAAGGGCCCCCAACCCAAGUGUCAGAGAAGCUGGCAAGAGCUGAGGGAGUGAGGUGCCAUGACAGCAGCCACAGCCUCCAGGGACCCAAACAGGCCCAGCUACCAGCCUGGCACUGAGCAUGCCAUCUGCUUUAGGCCCUGGCUGGCGGGCAUGUGGGCAACUUGCUCCCUCAGUGCAGGGGGCUGGGAGGCACAGAUGCAGGCUCAGCACUACAAACUCAAAACCCCCAUGAGAGGGCUCAGUCUUAUGGGAAAUGCCUCCAACCGAGCCCCUUUGCCCCAACACACUCUUCGUCUGCCUACUGAAGAAACUUCUGUAAAUAGCAGAGACUUGAGGGACCCCUUCCUGGGGUACGUGUAUUUGUAUUUUUCUGUUUGGGUGUUUGUGUGUCCCAGUGGGACCACCUCCCCAGGGAGACGAGGCAGGUGGGCGGGAGGCCCGGCAGGCGCCGUUACUUCUUCACGAUCUGGAUGACGUCCUCAUGCUCCAUGGUGUGGGUCAGGCCCACCCGCUGCGGACUGUACUUGGUGCUGGUGCCCUGGGUGAGGAAUGGGGGCAGAGGGGUCACCUCAGCCUGGACUGGCCAAGGUCAAGGAAGAUAUCCCUGGGCGUGUGUGUCCUGAAGGGUAAAUGCCAUGGCAUAAGGUGGGGGCCUCAGGCAGCAGGAUGUCCGCAGUUGUCUGACCAUCCCUGAUCUCAAAGGUUGGGGAGGGCCAGGCACAGUGGCUAAUGCCUGUAAUCCCAGCACUUCUGGAGGUCAAGGUGGGAGGAUCACUUGAGCUCAGGUGUUUGAGACAGCCUGGGCCAGAUAGCGAAACCUUGUCUCCAUGAAAAAUUAGCCAGGCAUGGUGGUGUGUGCCUGUAGUCCCAGCUACUUGUGAUGCUGAGGUGGGAGGAUCGCUUUUGCACAGAUGUCGAGGCUGCACUGGGCCAUGAUCGUGCCACUGCACUCCAGCGUGGGAGACAGAGCCAGACCCUGUCUCAAAAAAAAAAAAAAAAAAAAACCAGAAAAAAAAAAGGGUGGGGAAGGCCCAUGUCUACCCUGGGUUGGCAUGUACAUUCUAUGGAGGACAGACACACAGACAUGCCAAUCCCCACAGGAAGGACAGGAACACCACGCAGAGAGUGUGAAUGCCUUGCUUCAUGCCUAACCCAGGGGCUGUCCUGGGUCUACCCCCCUGGUUGCUUUCCACCCAGAGACUCACCCACACCAGGGCGUACUUGAACUGGCUGGCGAGUGACCGGUGGAUGCGGUGGCACUGGAGGACAGGAGAGAGUCAGGUAGAGAGGUCUUCCAGGCCCUGGUGGGAGACCCAACACCUCAGCCCAGCGUCCCUGGGGCGGAGGCCGGCGCCAGGCCUGCAGGAACACUUCCUUGACACAGAUGGGAAGGUGGCUGACUCUGGUCUGCAGAUGGGUUUUGUUUUACUCAGCUUGCCCAGCAUUGCCACUUGAUACAGAUCCCAAGAAGAAAUGAGCUAGAGGAAAACAACACCAGGAAAGCAUCAGCCCAGGAGGACGGCCAUGUGACCUGAAGGUUGGCCACCAUCUGUGCCUGCAGGGUCAUGUUCAGGUGACAGAAUCCUGGACAGGGAAAGGCAGCCUCUUGCUCCCUGAGCCCAGACCACCUCCCCUGGGGCCUGUGCAUGCCUGCUCCCCUACCUGGGAUGCUCCCCACCCCAACUCUUCACUGCCAGACCCACUAGUCCUAUAAGCCGGCUCAGGUUGCCUCCUUGAAGCCGCUGUCCUGACCUCUGUGUUAAGCUGGUGCCACUCCCUACUCUCCUUGACUGAUGCCUGAAUGGCAUGGAAGCAGGGUUACUGGCAUCUCUGCAAAGCCAGGCAGCAUGCUGAGUGCCCUACACACUGGACCUCAUUCAACGUGUCCUCCUGACUAUCCAGGGGGCAGGCAGCACACCCCCCUCACAGUAGAGGUCAGAGCCUCGGCACAUGGCUAAGAAGGGGUGCUGCAGACGCAGCCCCAGGCUGUCCAACUCCAGAGCCUGCGUUGACAUCUGAGAGUGAGACCAGCAGAGCCCACCCCCAGCCCAGGGCACCUCAGGCAGAACAGAGCCCCAAAGGGCAUGCAGAGCUCCCACCCCUUGUCACGGCAGGUCUUGUCAACUCACCACGUGCUCCACUGAGGCCCCUUUCCGGAGAAUGAUGGCGUCUGUGAAGUCUGGCCUCUCUGCAGGGCAGGAUGGGGAGAACGUCAGCCACACAUCAGGGCCCACACUGCCAUCUUGUGAUUCUGCGCGAGGGAAGAGCUGGCCACAGAGGCCCUUUCGGUCUCCUUGCCUUGGCCUAACCUCCCCCUGACAUCCAGCACACCCUCCACAUAGAUCCCUGUACCAUCUUCUACGACCUUGAUCUUAACACAGUGACUCAAAAUAAAUCACGUCUAGGAUUCACAGUGCCUGCCACCCAUCUGCUGUGACAGCACUGACAGAGACCAGGACCUGGACUGAACGGGCAGGGCGCAAAGGGAUGCUGGAGUCUAGUGAGGGAAGCUGUAGCUCACUCCUUGCCAAAGUCAGGGUUGAUGCAAACUGCUCCGAAUUCAGCU
rnacentral:lncRNA from 1 species